CAGUCGCCGCGGUAAUGCGUAGGUGGCAAGCGUUGUCCGGUAUUAUUGGGCGUAAAGGGCUCGCAGGCGGUUUCUUAAGUCUGAUGUGAAAGCCCCCGGCUCAACCGGGGAGGGUCAUUGGAAACUGGGAAACUUGAGUGCAGAAGAGGAGAGUGGAAUUCCACGUGUAGCGGUGAAAUGCGUAGAGAUGUGGAGGAACACCAGUGGCGAAGGCGACUCUCUGGUCUGUAACUGACGCUGAGGAGCGAAAGCGUGGGGAGCGAACAGGAUUAGAUACCCCAGUAGUCCCUGUCUCUUAUAA
rnacentral:rRNA from 1 species